GCUAGAUCCGUGCCAGUAGCGGUGGGAAGAGGGGGGGUUAAAUGGUUAUAGUGAAUAAAUGGGCGUAAAGAGCAAGUAGGAGGAUUAAUGAGUUUUAAGUGAAAUCCGAUAGCUGAACUAUAGAACUGCUUUGAAAACUGUUAAGCUAGAAUGGGAGAGAGGUAGAUGGAAUUUCUGGUGUAGGGGUAAAAUCCGUAGAGAUCAGAAGGAAUACCGAUUGCGAAGGCGAUCUACUGGAACAUUAUUGACGCUGAGAUGCGAAAGCGUGGGGAGCAAACAGGAUUAGAUACCCGUGUAGUC
rnacentral:rRNA from 1 species